rnacentral:rRNA from 1 species
CCUACGGGUGGCAGCAGUGAGGAAUAUUGGUCAAUGGCCGUAAGGCUGAACCAGCCAAGUCGCGUGAAGGAAGACGGCCCUAUGGUUUGUAAACUUCUUUUAUAGGGGAAUAAAGUUAUCCACGUGUGGAUUUUUGUAUGUACUCUAUGAAUAAGGAUCGGCUAACUCCGUGCCAGCAGCCGCGGUAAUACGGAGGAUCCGAGCGUUAUCCGGAUUUAUUGGGUUUAAAGGGCGCGUAGGUGGUUUUUUAAGUCAGUUGUGAAAGUUUGGGGCUCAACCGUAAAAUUGCAAUUGAAACUGGGAGGCUUUAGGACAGUUGAGGGAAGCGGAAAUGGGUG